rnacentral:hammerhead_ribozyme from 1 species
AUCCAUCUGACGAGUCCCAAAUAGGACGAAACGUUAAUCCUGGAU